UGGCUGGGUCCUCUACUUCAGGUAUCCCAAGGUCAAGAUGAAGGUGUCCAUCAGCAAGGCUGUUAAGGAACAGGCCCUAGGAACAGGCCUGUUCAAAUUCCUUUAGGUUCUUGCCUGGCUUUAAGACUACCCCCCUUUUCCUGCUGGCUGUGGGUCAGGAGACAUUGUCAGCUGCUGGACGCCACCCAUAGCUCUAGGUUCCCCACCUAUCCCACCUGAGAGCCACAGCAGUGUGUGAAGACCUCACUCUUUAAGUCUCUCUUGCUGCUUUUAAGGAUUUGUGUGAAUGCAUCAAGUCUACUCAAAUAUUACAGGAUGCACUCCCUAUGAAGGUCAUCUGGUUAGUAAUCCUAAUUAUAUCUGUGAAGUCCCCUCUGCCAGGAUGGUGAUGACCAUGACCUCUGUUCUCUUUAUCCUUCCUGCCACCUCCACCUCACCCCCAGCAAGAACUGAUGACAAAAAUAUAGUCCACAACCAGAGAGGAAAA